rfam:Candidatus Yanofskybacteria bacterium RIFCSPHIGHO2_01_FTLL_41_26 rifcsphigho2_01_scaffold_847, whole genome shotgun sequence.
GCCGCGGUAGCUCAAUGGUAGAGCGCAUCCCUGAAGAGGAUGGCGUUGGGUGUUCGAUUCACCCCCGCGGCA